rnacentral:rRNA from 2 species
CUCAGACAGCCAGGAUGUUGGCUUAGAAGCAGCCAUCAUUUAAAGAAAGCGUAAUAGCUCACUGGUCGAGUCGGCCCGCGCGGAAGAUGUAACGGGGCUAAACCAUGCACCGAAGCUGCGGCAGCGAACGUAUCACUUAAAUUUGUUUGAGUGAAUAACGAUUGACGGAACGAAGUGACGUCAAUGCGUUAAUGAAAGUCGAGGCGAAAGCACGACAAAGCGAAUUUAAGGAUACGUUCGUUGGGUAGGGGAGCGUUCUGUAAGCCUGCGAAGGUGUACUGUGAGGUAUGCUGGAGGUAUCAGAAGUGCGAAUGCUGACAUAAGUAACGAUAAUGCGGGUGAAAAACCCGCACGCCGGAAGACCAA